UGCCUCAGUAACGGCGAGUGAAGCGGCAACAGCUCAGAUUUGAAAUCUGGCUCCUCCGGAGUCCGAGUUGUAAUCUGCAGGGGAUGCUUCCGCGACGAACCCGGCCUAAGUUCCUUGGAACAGGACGUCACAGAGGGUGAGAAUCCCGUAUGUGGCCGGUGGACGUCUCUUCGGUGAAGCUCCUCCGACGAGUCGAGUUGUUUGGGAAUGCAGCUCUAAAUGGGAGGUAAAUUUCUUCUAAGGCUAAAUACCGGCCAGAGACCGAUAGCGCACAAGUAGAGUGAUCGAAAGAUGAAAAGCACUUUGGAAAGAGAGUUAAAAAGUACGUGAAAUUGUUGAAAGGGAAGCGCUUGCAACCAGACUUGGCCGCAGUUGCUCAACCGUCUCCGCGGACGGCUCACUCUUCUGCGGCCAGGCCAGCAUCGGUUUGGGCGGUCGGAAAAAGGUCCCGGGAAUGUAUCUCUCUUCGGGGAGUGUUAUAGCCCGGGACGAAAUACGGCCUGCUCAGACCGAGGACCGCGCUUCGGCUAGGAUGCUGGCGUAAUGGUUGUAAGCGGCCCGUCUUGAAACACGGACCAAGGAGUCUAACAUCUAUGCGAGUGUUCGGGUGUCAAACCCGUGCGCGUAAUGAAAGUGAACGGAGGUGG
rnacentral:rRNA from 1 species